GCGGGGGCUAGGCCGACGGGCCGAAAGCCGGGAACCCUACCCGGUUGCCCUUGCUUAACCAUAGGG
rnacentral:sRNA from 1 species